CAAAGGAGGCGGUGUGGUUGCAAAAGUUCUUAUCGAGCUAAGAGUUGUACCUUCCAUUGAUGGUCCUGUCCUGCUGUAUUGUGACAGCUUCAGUGCCAUAACUCAGGCGAAAGAACCUAAGUCACACCAUCGUACUAAAUAUGUUCUGCGCUGCUAUCACCUAAUGCGAGAGAUCGUGAAUCGAGGUGACGUCGAGCUUCAGAAGAUCAACGGAAAGAACCUAAGUCACAUCAUCGUACUAAAUAUGUUCUGCGCUGCUAUCACCUAAUGCGAGAGAUCGUGAAUCGAGGUGACGUCGAGCUUCAGAAGAUCAACGGAAAGGAGAACUUAGCCGACCCCUUCACUAAAGCUCUCGGGAUCAAAGAGUUCAAUGACUUCAAAUGGAAGAUGGGUAUAAGAUACUGCCUCGAUUGGCUUUAGUCUAAGCGGG
rnacentral:lncRNA from 1 species